rnacentral:rRNA from 1 species
UAUAAAGUGGGCCUAAAAGCAGCCACCUUCCAAAAAGCGUUAAAGCUUCAUUACCCAUGCAAAAAAUCUCAUUAACCAACUAAAACCCCUAACCUACUACUGAAUGAUUUCAUAAUCAUAUGAAAACCUAUCUGUUAAAACUAGUAACAAGAAGAAGACCUUCUCCAAAAUGCAAGUAUAAGCCGCAAUGAACAAAACAUCGGCAUUUAAAGCCUGUAAUUUACCAGUAGCAACUCACCAAGAAAACCCUACUGAUUACAACGUUAACCUUACACCAGCACAUUUAUGGAAAGAUUAAAAAAACAGGAAGGAACUCGGCAAACUAUAAACCCCGCCUGUUUACCAAAAACAUCGCCUCUUGAAACCACAUAAGAGGUCCAGCCUGCCCAGUGACAAAGUUAAACGGCCGCGGUACCCUAACCGUGCAAAGGUAGCACAAUCACUUGUUCUUUAAAUGAGGACUAGUAUGAACGGCAUCACGAGGGUUAAGCUGUCUCCCUGCUUUAAUCAGUUAAACUGAUCUUCCCGUGAAGAAGCGGGAAUAAACUUAUAAGACGAGAAGACCCCAUGGAGCUUAAAACUCAGUAUCACCUGCUAUUUUAUAAACCCAAUAAACAAUGCAAUACUGAUUCCUAGUUUUCGGUUGGGGUGACCACGGAGUAAAACAAAACCUCCGCAACGAAAGGACCUAAUUACCUAAUCCAAGAGCUACAACUCUAAGAAUCAAUAAAUUGACUAAACUGACCCAAUUAUUUGAUCAAUGAACCAAGUUACCCUGGGGAUAACAGCGCAAUCCAUUUCAAGAGCCCCUAUCGACAAAUGGGUUUACGACCUCGAUGUUGGAUCAGGACAUCCAAGUGGCGCAGCCGCUACUAAAGGUUC